ACCAUUCCUUGUCUCCAUUUGAUACUCCUCCCAUAUAACGUCCCUUUGGUUUUCAAAUAUAAUUGAAGCUAUUUAAAAAAAUCACACUCUCCCCUUGGAGCUAUUUAUGUGAAACUUAUGUAAGUCCCGCCCCGCCCUGUUAUAAAUUCGUUCCUUGGUCUCUGAGUUAUUUCCUGUUAUUUUAGUCUUCGGACGAGAUGGAAUCCAAUCACUGAGAAAGAAAUUUACAUCUAGGCCAUGACACAAACCCAAGAUUCUGCCGUGACUUUUCAGAAUGCUGGAAAGGGUCGUAGCCACUCAAAUGAGGCAGAGAAGCUGGGAUUUUAGCGUCAGGCAUGGUCUUGCAACGCACGGACGCCUACGAGCUGUCCUGACUCGUAGAUCCGUAAGCUGUUUCCACCGCCGCAGGCAAUUUUACAAGGCUCUUCCCUCCAAGGGCAUCCUUUUCCAGGAACUACGUGGAGACAAGGAGAAACAUGGAACGUCACAGUCCAGAAAGCUUUGGUAAUAUUCCACAGUGGCCGGCAGAGAAGACCGACUUCCAAAAUGGUGACGACAUUCAGUUUGAGGUCUGUUGUGGUUGAGCGGUGAUGUGUCCCCCAACAGCAGAGCGAGAUGAUUGGAGUGUGACAGCUGUGACCUCGUCCGUCCACCCUGGAUUGAAUGCACUGACUGGGUGGUCACUGUGGGUAGGUGGGGUGUGGCUGGAGGAGGUGAAGAUUCAGCCCCUGCGAUUCCCCAUCCCUGCUCCGGUUAUUUGGCUUUUGAAGCACUGCUCCUCUGCCUAAUGGGACUCACAGGGUCAGAUUACGAUUGGAGAGUCUGUCGCUCUCGUGAACACUCAAACCCCAUGAUGGGAAUUUCAUUUUAUUACGUGGUGAAAUGAUCAAGAAGUACCUGCAAGCAAAUUCAGAAAGACAUGCCGGAGUCAGCCAGUUCCUGACCGUCCCCCUGGUACAUUCCGCCCACAUUGAUCAUUCCAUAUUUACUAGUCGUGUUCCUUUGUACUUGCUCUGUGUUUAUUAAGCUCUGUUAAUCCAUUUUCCCUCUUGUGUUAUCAACUAUAAUGUAACAUGCUGCGUAUUUCUUUACUUGCACAUUUCCCAGUGGCUGGACCUUUUGCUAAUUGGGGCUAUUUCUUAGUUUGACUAAAGACUUUGACAAAUAUCUUUUGAUAUUAAUAAAUCCAUGACACGUUGAGAUCUUUUAAUAUCGGCAAGACAGAUUCCCAGAUGUGCAAUUGCCAAGUGAAGAGGACAUACACAGAGUUUGGCCACUUGAUGCCCGUGGCCCCAAAGCGAACCAAAUCACAACUUAUGUCCACUGCACGCCCCUAAGGAACCAAAGCGUCCUAAUUCUCAAAAUCUUGAAUCGACCCAACAAAUUGAAAGCCAGAUGUUAAGUCUUUUUUUUUUUCCAAUUGAGGUUGAAUUCUUUCCCAUUUUUUUAUUAUUAUUUCUUUUAAUUAUGUAUGGAUACAUACCUUUUUUAAAAUUUUUUUUUAUGUGAGGCUGAGGUUCGAACCCACUGCCUCACACGUGCUAGGGAAGCACUCUGCCACUGAGCUAUAACCCCAGCCCCUCUCCACAUGUUUUUGAAACCAUAUCUAGUUUGUAGUUUGUGUGACAGACUUAUUUUAACAAACAGAACCAUUUAUCUCCUUUAUAGUUGUCUUCUGGAAGAUUUUUUUUAAAAAGUAUUUGCUACUCUAUGGUACAGAUGUUGCUAAAUACUGUCACUUAAGAACAAAAAAAGUGCGCUGUAUGUGUAAUAUGAAUUCUGACGCAUUCUGCUGUCGUUAGAAUUUAAGAAUUUUUUAAAAAGAACAAGAAAAUGUAUCACAGACACCGCUACCUUGUUAUGCUCCCGUGUUGACUUUGAGUGCUCACUAAGUGAAUAAAAUACAAAGCAGA